rnacentral:rRNA from 1 species
AGCGAACGCUGGCGGCAGGCCUAACACAUGCAAGUCGAGCGCCCCGCAAGGGGAGCGGCAGACGGGAGAGUAACACGUGGGAACGUGCCCUUCAGUUCGGAACAACCAAGGGAAACUUUGGCUAAUACCGGAUACGUCCGUAAGGAGAAAGAUUUAUCGCUGAAGGAUCGGCCCGCGUCUGAUUAGCUAGUUGGUGGGGUAAUGGCCCACCAAGGCGACGAUCAGUAGCUGGUCUGAGAGGAUGAUCAGCCUCACUGGGACUGAGACACGGCCCAGACUCCUACGGGAGGCAGCAGUGGGGAAUAUUGGACAUUGGGCUCAAUCCUGAUCCAGCCAUGCCGCGUGGGUGAUGAAGGCCUUAGGGUUGUAAAGCCCUUUCGGCGGGGAAGAUAAUGACGGUACCCGCAGAAGAAGAAGCUCCGGCUAAACUCGUGCCAGCCGCCGCUGUAA